ACUUUACAAUGCGGGAAACCGUGAUAAGGGAACCCCGAGUGCCCGUAAAUUCGGGCUGUCCAUCAGCGUAAAUAACUGGUGAAGAAAGGGCCGGGCAAGACCGGUGCCAGCCGCCGCGGUAAUACCGGCGGCUCGAGUGGUGGCCACUAUUAUUGGGCUUAAAGCGUCCGUAGCUUGGUUGUUAAGUCUCUUGGGAAAUCUACCGGCUCAACCGGUAGGCGUUCAGGAGAUACUGGCAAUCUAGGGACCGGGAGAGGUGAGAGGUACUCCAGGGGUAGGAGUGAAAUCCUGUAAUCCUUGGGGGACCACCUGUGGCGAAGGCGUCUCACUAGAACGGCUCCGACAGUGAGGGACGAAAGCUGGGGGAGCAAACCGG
rnacentral:rRNA from 1 species